AACCUCCGCAAUGUGAGAAAUCGCGACGGGGGGAUCCCAAGUGCCAUUCUUAACGGGAUGGCUUUUCAUUAGUGUAAAGAGCUUUUGGAAUAAGGGCUGGGCAAGACCGGUGCCAGCCGCCGCGGUAACACCGGCAGCUCUAGUGGUAGCAGUUUUUAUUGGGCCUAAAGCGUCCGUAGCCGGUUUAAUAAGUCUCUGGUGAAAUCCUGUAGCUUAACUGUGGGAAUUGCUGGAGAUACUAUUAGACUUGAGACCGGGAGAGGUUAAAGGUACUCCCAGGGUAGAGGUGAAAUUCUGUAAUCCUGGGAGGACCGCCUGUUGCGAAGGCGUCUAACUGGAACGGUUCUGACGGUGAGGGACGAAAGUUAGGGGCGCGAACCGGAUUAGAUACCCGGGUAGUCCUAACUGUAAACGAUGCGGACUUGGUGUUGGGGUGGCUUUGAGCUGCUCCAGUGCCGAAGGGAAGCUGUUAAGUCCGCCGCCUGGGAAGUACGGUCGCAAGACUGAAACUUAAAGGAAUU
rnacentral:rRNA from 1 species